rnacentral:rRNA from 1 species
AAAGAAGGGUGGCGAACGGGUGAGUAACACGUGGUUACCUGCCCAUCAGAAGGGGAUAACACUUGGAAACAGGUGCUAAUACCGUAUAACAAUCAAAACCGCAUGGUUUUGAUUUGAAAGGCGCUUUCGGGUGUCGCUGAUGGAUGGACCCGCGGUGCAUUAGCUAGUUGGUGAGGUAACGGCUCACCAAGGCCACGAUGCAUAGCCGACCUGAGAGGGUGAUCGGCCACAUUGGGACUGAGACACGGCCCAAACUCCUACGGGAGGCAGCAGUAGGGAAUCUUCGGCAAUGGACGAAAGUCUGACCGAGCAACGCCGCGUGAGUGAAGAAGGUUUUCGGAUCGUAAAACUCUGUUGUUAGAGAAGAACAAGGAUGAGAGUAACUGUUCAUCCCUUGACGGUAUCUAACCAGAAAGCCACGGCUAACUACGUGCCAGCAGCCGCGGUAAUACGUAGGUGGCAAGCGUUGUCCGGAUUUAUUGGGCGUAAAGCGAGCGCAGGCGGUUUCUUAAGUCUGAUGUGAAAGCCCCCGGCUCAACCGGGGAGGGUCAUUGGAAACUGGGAGACUUGAGUGCAGAAGAGGAGAGUGGAAUUCCAUGUGUAGCGGUGAUAUGCGUAGAUAUAUGGAGGUACACCAGUGGCGAAGGCGGCUCUCUGGUCUGUA